rnacentral:rRNA from 1 species
GUCCACUCCCUAAACGAUGCAUACUUGGCUGUGGCGGGUUUGACCCCGUCGGAGCCGGAGCAAAAGUGUGAAGUAUGCCGCCUGGGGGAGUACGGUCGCAAGAUUAAAACUCAAAGAAAUUGACGGGGGCUCACACAAGCGGUGGAGCAUGUGGCUUAAUUCGAAGCAACGCGCAGAACCUUACCCGGGUUUGACAUGUACGGAUUAGUGGGAUGAAAGUUCCAUGACGCUCGCAAGAGUGGAACGUACACAGGUGCUGCAUGGCUGUCGU